UAAGUAGGUAGUGAAAGCUGACGGCUCAACCGUACAGACUAUUAUCUAAACUGGUAAACUCGAGAAUGGUAGAGGUAACUGGAAUUUCUGAAGUAGGGGUAAUAUCCGUAGAUAUCAGAAGGAACACCAAUGGCGUAGGCAGGUUACUGGGCUGUUUCUGACACUGAGGCACGAAAGCGUGGGGGAGCGAACCGGAUUAGAUACCCGGGUAGUCCACGCCGUAAACGAUGGAUACUA
rnacentral:rRNA from 1 species